rnacentral:rRNA from 1 species
CUUGCGCAAUGGGCGAAAGCCUGACGCAGCGACGCCGCGUGUGGGAUGAAGGCCUUCGGGUCGUAAACCACUGUCGCGAGGGACGAAUAAAUUGACGGUACCUCGAAAGGAAGCACCGGCUAACUCUGUGCCAGCAGCCGCGGUAAUACAGAGGGUGCGAGCGUUGUCCGGAAUCACUGGGCGUAAAGGGCGCGUAGGUGGCUCUAUAAGUCGGGGGUGAAAUGCUGCGGCUCAACCGCAGCGCUGCCUCCGAGACUGUAGGGCUCGAGCACGGUAGAGGCCGAUGGAAUUCCCGGUGUAGCGGUGGAAUGCGUAGAGAUCGGGAAGAACACCAAUGGCGAAGGCAGUCGGCUGGGCCGUUGCUGACACUGAGGCGCGACAGCGUGGGGAGCAAACAGG